ensembl:lncRNA
GAGAAAAAAAAUGUUAACUCCUCAAUGUUUUAGAUGUUGCUGAUCAGUGCUGUUCAAAAUCAAGGGUGUAUAACUUCUUAUACUGCAGUCUGGAGGCACCCAGAGUGGUGGGAGAGGAAGGAUUAAGAACAAUGGAAUAGCCAAGUCACUCCCUGAACCUGAAGUUCACAGAACAACCCGCAGGAGCAACACCAAACCAGCAUGCUCCAGUGUGCAUGAGGAAGCAUCGUGAAACCCCUUGAAGGACUGUUGAAUUUUUGGGAUUGGGUGAGCUUGAAGCUGAGUUGCUCCUGGUCCUUGAAGAAGAUAUGCCUCCAGGAGGAACUUCAAGUUCUGUCUGAACAGAACAACAGAAAAGUGCCAAUAAUCGCCUUUAGUGCCUUAACAUUCUACAUCGCAGUAGCUGACCUAAACUGGCCAAAAGGAUAUCCUGUGCCAUGUAGCUUCAUAAUGAAAAACUAAACUGGAUGGGGGAGUUGGGUGCUGGGCAGAAGCUGUUCAGGAACUGUCACAGUCUGUGAGUGGUACCUGGUUCUCAGAAGAGUGCUAUAUACCCCAGAAGACUUUUCCGUUUACCAUUUGGAGGGAAAGACAAAACUGGUCACAAGUCAAGAGACUGCUCUCUUUUACUGCUCGUAUCAGCAGUGUGUGCUCCCUGUCUAACCUACACCUUCAGAGUAUUCCACAUCACAACAUCAUGUAGAGCACUGGGAGUUAUAGAGUUCACUCUCAACUUCAGUGGAUCGUGGAUAGUCCCAGGUGCCUGGUUAUCAGAAGAGAAGAAGAAACUACAAUUCCCAGAGGAAUUUCAAUAUUCUGUUGCCAUUUUCCAUUUAGAGCGAAAGAUAAAAACUGUUCGCGUAUCACAAGAUGUCCCUUUUUGCCUUCACUUCCCACCAGCUCAUUUUGGCAGCUUCUCACUGCCAGCUCUCUCUCAUUUUAUUAGAUUUAUUAGCUUCAGUUUUAAUUAUAUGUUAUUAUACUGUGCUAUUCUGCAUUCCGAUAUCUUAUUUAGUAAAUUUGUUUCUCCUCAGAUUGUUAUGGCUGUUUUGUUUUUUGCCCAUCUCCCUACCCUUUUUCCCUUUUCCCUUUCCCUGGUCUUGGAUCCGUUGGUCUCUGGCCCCAUUAGUCAUGGAACAGGGCCGAACCUGCCUGUAAACCGUAGACAUAUGGUCAUGCUCCAGGACAUCAAUCUGUUUCUUGCAGUGAGGGGCCCAAAAGUGAAAACCGUACUAAAGGUGUGGCCUCACUGAGACUAAGUGCGUGGCAACAGUCACAUCUCUUUUCCUUUUUGCUACACUCUUUCUGAUAUAAGCCAGGAUGCCACUGGCCUGCUUGGUUACUUAAGCAGACUGGUUGCUCAUGUUCAGUUAAGCAUCCACCAUUCCUUUUCCACUUCCUGCUACUCUGCAUCAAUCCAGUAGCAAUGCCUGGGUUUGAGUCCAAAGUGCAGGACUCAGCACCUGCUCUUGUUGAACAUCGUCCCAUUAGCCUCAGCCCAGUGAUCCAGCCUGUCCAGAUCCAUCUGAAGGGCCUUGAUACCCUCAGGCAGAUCAAUACUUUCCCCCAACUUGGUACAAUUUACAAGCUUACUGAGGGUGCAUCCAAUCCCCUCAGGCAGAUCAUCAAUUAAGAUACUAAACAGGACAGGCCCCAAUACUGACCUUGAAGGAACUCAAUCCAUGAUUUGUCACCAGUUGAAUUUUACUCCAUAGACUUCUUUCUGGACCUUGCCCUUCAGCCACUUCAUUACACAACUAUAAAGAACUGUACAGAAGACGGUACCUGUCCAAGCCACGGUCUGCUAGCUUAUGCAGGAGAAUACUUUGGUAGACAAUGCCAAAGGCUUUUCUAAGUCUAGGUAAACAACAGCAAGAGCCUUUCCUCAUCCACCAGAUGUGUCGGCCAGUCAUGGAAGGAGAUGAGUUUGAUGAAGAAGGAUCUGACUCUCAUAGUAAUCAAUCUGUGCUUUGGAAAUUGAAUAUUCAGCUACUUUCCAGGCUUUUCCAGAGUACUCAUCUAUUGAACAACUCUAUUGAAUUGUUUUAUUGGCUUAUUUGAAAAGGAUUGAGACAGUAGAUUUAUUUUUUCAAUACUUUGUACAGUUUUGGUACUGAAAAAAAUUAUGUGUAAUGGUAGCCUUGAAAAUAAUUACGUGCAUUACAACAAUCAAAUGUAUGAAACAUUCUCAAUGGUUAUGUUAUCAACAUUCUGCUUCUAAUAAACUCAUUGAAAUACUAGAUAUUAUAUUGUCU